rnacentral:sRNA from 1 species
UUUCGUAUCACAGAAGUGUGUAUAUAUAUAUACAUACGUACACA